GAUGAACGCUGGCGGCGUGCCUAAUACAUGCAAGUCGAGCGAACGGACGAGAAGCUUGCUUUUCUGAUGCUAGCGGCGGACGGGUGAGUAACACGUGGAUAACCUACCUAUAAGACUGGGAUAACUUCGGGAAACCGGAGCUAAUACCGGAUAAUAUUUUGAACCGCAUGGUUCAAAAGUGAAAGACGGUCUUGCUGUCACUUAUAGAUGGAUCCGCGCUGCAUUAGCUAGUUGGUAAGGUAACGGCUUACCAAGGCAACGAUGCAUAGCCGACCUGAGAGGGUGAUCGGCCACACUGGAACUGAGACACGGUCCAGACUCCUACGGGAGGCAGCAGUAGGGAAUCUUCCGCAAGGGGCGAAAGCCUGACGGAGCAACGCCGCGUGAGUGAUGAAGGUCUUCGGAUCGUAAAACUCUGUUAUUAGGGAAGAACAUAUGUGUAAGUAACUGUGCACAUCUUGACGGUACCUAAUCAGAAAGCCACGGCUAACUACA
rnacentral:rRNA from 1 species